rnacentral:rRNA from 1 species
UACGGAGGAUGCAAGCGUUAUCCGGAUUUAUUGGGUUUAAAGGGUGCGCAGGUUGUUUGGUAAGUCAGUGGUGAAAGUCUGUCGCUUAACGUCAGGAUUGCCAUUGAUACUGUUAAACUUGAGUAUGGAUGAGGUAUUCGGAAUGUGUAGUGUAGCGGUGAAAUGCAUAGAUAUUACACAGAACGCCGAUUGCGGAGGCAGGAUACUAGGCCAUUACUGACGCUGAGGCACGAAAGCGUGGGGAUCAAACAGGAUUAGAUACCCUGGUAGUCCACGCCGUAAACGAUGAUCACUCGCUGUUUGCGAUAUACAGUAAGCGGCUUAGCGAAAGCAAUAAGUGAUCCACCUGGGGAGUACGAUCGCAAGGUUGAA